rnacentral:rRNA from 1 species
UACGUAGGGUGCAAGCGUUAAUCGGAAUUACUGGGCGUAAAGCGUGCGCAGGCGGUUUCGUAAGUCUGUCGUGAAAUCCCCGGGCUUAACCUGGGAAUUGCGCUUGAAACUAGCGGGCUUGAGUGUGGCAGAGGGGGGUGGAAUUCCACGUGUAGCAGUGAAAUGCGUAGAGAUGUGGAGGAACACCGAUGGCGAAGGCAGCCCCCUGGGUCAACACUGACGCUCAUGCACGAAAGCGUGGGGAGCAAACAGG